GAUGAACGCUGGCGGCGUGCCUAAUACAUGCAAGUCGAGCGAACAGACGGGGAGCUUGCUCCUCUGACGUUAGCGGCGGACGGGUGAGUAACACGUGGAUAACCUACCUAUAAGACUGGGAUAACUUCGGGAAACCGGAGCUAAUACCGGAUAAUAUAUUGAACCGCAUGGUUCAAUAGUGAAAGACGGUUUUGCUGUCACUUAUAGAUGGAUCCGCGCCGCAUUAGCUAGUUGGUAAGGUAACGGCUUACCAAGGCAACGAUGCGUAGCCGACCUGAGAGGGUGAUCGGCCACACUGGAACUGAGACACGGUCCAGACUCCUACGGGAGGCAGCAGUAGGGAAUCUUCCGCAAUGGGCGAAAGCCUGACGGAGCAACGCCGCGUGAGUGAUGAAGGUCUUCGGAUCGUAAAACUCUGUUAUCAGGGAAGAACAAAUGUGUAAGUAACUAUGCACGUCUUGACGGUACCUAAUCAGAAAGCCACGGCUAACUACGUG
rnacentral:rRNA from 1 species